UUUGGAUUCAAUACAUAAAAGACUAAAUUUGGUAGCUUUAAAAGUUGCAGACUAAAAUUGGAAAUGAGUGAUAGUCA